UCGGUCCUGCCCACUGAUAGUUUAUUAAAGGGCCGCGGUAUUUUGACCGUGCAAAGGUAGCAUAAUCAUUAGUCUUUUAAUUGAGGGCUGGAAUGAAUGGUUUGACGAGAUAUAAGCUGUCUCCAUAUAAUAAUAUAUAAUUUAACUUUUGAGUCAAAAGGCUUAAAUGAAUAUAAAAGACGAGAAGACCCUAUAGAGCUUUAUAUAUGAUUAUACUUAUAUUAUUUAGGGGUAUUGUAAAUGAGUAUAAAUUAUAUGUUUUGUUGGGGUGACAUGAAGAUACAAUUAACUCUUUAUUAUUUAAACAUUGAUUUAUGAUAAAUUGAUCCAUUAUUAAUGAUUAUAAGAUAAAGUUACCUUAGGGAUAACAGCGUAAUUUUUUUUGAGAGUUCUUAUCGACAAGAAAGAUUGCGACCUCGAUGUUGGAUUAAGAAAUAUGACUAGGUGCAGAAGUUUAGUUAAUAAGUCUGUUCGACUUUUAAAUUCUUACAUGAUCUGAGUUCAGACCGGCGUAAGCCAGGUCGGUUUCUAUCUUUAUAUACUGUUAAUACUUUAGUACGAAAGGACCAAGUAUUGGAAAAAUUUUUUUGUGAUUAGAAUGGAAUUAAAA
rnacentral:rRNA from 1 species